rnacentral:lncRNA from 1 species
CUCCUAACUGCAGGGAUGAAAAGGAUAUUCCACCCUCAGGGAGAUGGAGCACAACUUCCUACUCUUUAAGUGUCGGCUGCUCACUGUGACUUCCUUCCAAAGAGGACAGUAAGAGCAUCAGUGAGUGUUGCCUGGGACAACUUCUCCCGAGUUAGGAAAUCAACUUGAUGAUGCCAAAGAGGAAAGAACAAAGGCCAGUGGACUGGGAAUCAGAAAACUACUCCAGUCUCUAAUGCGCCACGUGACCAGGUAGAGGAGAAAAAGAUUUUUGUGCGGGCAUUCCAACUGGAUAUAAGCAUGACUGCAAAGGCCAAGCUGACACCAUCAGACCCUUUAUAGAACAGAGACACGAAGACAAUGCCACUAGGAUCUAAGUCCCAGCCCAGUCACUAGGUGUGGAACUUUGGGCGAUUUCUUUAAGUUUUUUCAUCUCCUAAUAAGCUUAUUGCCAAAUAUUAUAUUAUCCUCAAGUCAUACAGUAGAAGGUGGGCAAACUCAGGCAGG